GGGAGGGCUGGGGUUGCAGGGGAGCGCAGCGAUUGAGGGUGCAGUGGAGCCGUGUGAGGGGCCGGGCUGUGGCGAAGGUGGGAAUGAAGACGCUUCCUAGGCCGCGGUCCCUGUGGGCGUCACCGCCUCCCCCAGCUGGAGACGUCCAGGCGCCAGCGUCUUUGGUCUACGCAGGGCGACCGGGUCGCGCGGGGCGAUGGAGGGGCCGGGGCGGGGGACCAGGUCGCGGUGCGCUAAGCAAAAGGGUUUGCAUUUUAUCCUGAAAGCCGCGGAGAGUGUCAGACCACCUCCUCUGUGUUCCCCGCGCAGCCCCUGCACGCCUCCGUCCACAGCACGACGGCAGGGCGUGGACCCCGCCUUGUGCUUCGCGGCUCCCCAGUGCUCACAAGUUUUGCUUUAGGGAACAGACCCAAGUUUCAGUCCAGACGCCACCGUUGACUAGGUGUAUCAACGAGGGCUAGCACUCUGCUUCCUUAUGAGGUGGGCACAGCUCCUGUGGGGGAAUUAAAUGAGAUCAUGUAGUUGAAGAAUUUAGCACGAUGCCUGGAACACAAUAGAAACUCAAUAUAUGUUAAGAGUGUCUUCCCUUCACCCCACCUGAAUUCUUGAGAAACAUCUUUAAAGUGGCCGUGUUAAACCGUGUAUCUUACAGUGUGAAAAUAGCAAAGGUAGCACUGAAUUAACUAUUUUGGGCAAGUUAUUCUUUGAGAUCUACCAAAGCAUAGUCCCUGUGGAAGUCUUUAACAUCAGCCUUGUGUUGUAUACUGCUUACCUGCGGGAAGCUCAGUGUACCCCAUCCGUGUACCUAUAUUGUUGCUACUAUGAAAUCUAAUUUUCAUAGCAUCCAUUAUUCUUUGUUAUACUUUAUGACAUUGAAGGAAAAAUGAGUUAUCCUAGAACUGAAAGGAGAGAAAAGUGGAAAGGCCAGACUAUGAUUUUUAUCUCUUUUUCUCCCCCGCAUUAACCAGUAAUUUCUCAGUGGCUGCUUCUGGCUCAGGAACCUUUGCUGUAUCUUCCAAAGGAUGUCAUUUCUUUCUUUUCAGUGUUGAUGGUUUUUGAACAGGAACGAAGAAGCCUGGAUUGAGGGGUCCCUAAAAGUAGUGAUUAACACCUCUUCAGCCUCCAAGUAGAACGUUUCACAAAAAUCAGUUCCUGGCCCCCUUGCAUGCAAAACAACUUCAUUUUUAACAGAAUGGCCUGCAUUUUUACCAAGUGCUAAAGGUGAUUCUGAUGCACAGAAAAUUGGAAAACUUUGAGGACACGUGUAGGGUGACAAAUCAUUUGGUUUGUCUGGGACUGAGGGCUUUUCCAUGACACAGGACUUUAAGUGUUAAAGCCAGGACAGUCCUGGGCAACUGAGAUGGUCACCCUGGAUACGUGUGAGUAUGUAGUGUUAGAUGUUCUUCCUGGGUCUUGGCGUCCUGGGUUUCCUCAUUGCUAUCUGCAGUAUUUGUGUUUUUAAGUGGGCGUGGGGUGGAGACCGUGGGAGAGGGAUUGAAGGUGAGGUGCAUUGCCAGUUAUCAACCCAUUUAUUCUUGGCUCCAAACCCAUCCUUCACGGCCCUGAUCCCAGUACUGGAACAUUUCUCCCUUGCCAUUUGGCCCAAUGUUAAGCUUCAGCAGUAGAGGGUGCAGGAAGGACAUUAGAGAAAGAAGGCGCUCUUCAUGAUUCCCGUGUGCUUCUCUCAGCUGGCUCUCCAGUGCAUGGUGGCCAGCCGUGAUUGCAACCUCUCUGUAGGCUGAGCUGCAAUGUUAGUUGAAUUUACAGCCUUGUUAGGCUUCUCUUGUGAAGUUAAGGCAUCAGUUGGGACGGAGUGGGAUCCCCAAACUUGAAAUAGGGACAUCUGCUUGGACCCAGGUGAAACUGACAAUCUUGAACACCCAAGUCACCCUGAGCCUCCCUUGGCGGUGGAAGUAGCUUGCUCUCCUGUGUCCGAGGAGACUAGUCGUCCUUUGCUUGAAAACCCUGUGAAGCCUCACCCGGAGCAGAUGACUUGAGAAGUACAGCAUAGGUCUAUACUUCCUAACAGGUGGGAGUGCUUCCAGAUUUGUGCCUUCUUUGGUGUUCUGCCUCCACCUAGAGGUAGGUCAUGGCUGCUCCCUAUAUCUGCUAUUUUGUGUAUUCUUGGAGUUUUCCUUUUCCUCUUGUAGAUAAUACCCUAUUAAGGUUAAUAAUUCUUUACGUUUUUUUUCCUGUUCGAAUUACUUUGUAGUUUCUGUCUCCUGUUUGAUUCCUAACUGUUACAGUGUGAUUGUGGUAUCGGGCCGGGAGCAACAGCUAGCAAGUGGCUGGCCUUAAACUGUAAGUAACUGGUUUGCCUCUGAUUUGGACCCUUACUAUCCUUAGCCCUUUACUCUUGUGCUGCUCUCUGGUUUCUCUUCACCUGAGACAGCUCUCCGACAGUCCUGGUAGGUUUUGCUAAUUCAGUUGCUUUGCCUCUACUCUGAAACCAGCAUUUCUCAGCAUGUGGUUGGAAGAUCAUGUGCAUCAGAGUCACUAGGGGAUGCUUGUCAAAAAUGAAGAUUCUGGGCCACCCAUCCAGAUUCUGGUACACGUGGGACCGACACGAGGACAGAUCAGAAUGGCACACAUCAUUAUGUGUGCAGGACAACUCCUCUCCUGUUCCUUCAUGCUAUUGCACUGAAAGCACAAUGAAAGAGUAAUAAAUUAAAAUCCGCUUUCUGUGUCGUGA